rnacentral:rRNA from 1 species
AAGGAACGCUGGCAGCGUGCAUAACACAUGCAAGUCGAACGCGGAAGAAUCUCUCGGGAUUUUGAAGAGUGGCGAACGGGUGAGGAACACGUAAGAAUCUACCUUUCGGUUGGGGAUAACUUCUGGAAACGGGAGCUAAUACCCAAUGUGCUGUGGAGUGAAAGAAUUUCGCCGAAAGACGAUCUUGCGUCUGAUUAGCUAGUUGGGGUGGUAAUGGCACACCAAGGCGACGAUCAGUAGCUGGUCUGAGAGGAUGGACAGCCACAUUGGGACUGAGACACGGCCCAGACUCCUACGGGAGGCAGCAGUGGGGAAUUUUCCGCAAUGGACGAAAGUCUGACGGAGCGACGCUGCGUGAAGGAUGAAGGCCCGUGGGUUGUAAACUUCUUUUCUCGAAGAAGAAUAAAAUGACGGUAUUCAAGGAAUAAGCAUCGGCUAACUCUGUGCCAGCAGCCGCGGUAAGACAGAGGAUGCAAGUGUUAUUCGGAAUGAUUGGGCGUAAAGAGUCUGUAGGCGGUUUAGAAAGUCUUUUGUGAAAUACUUCAGCUCAACUGGGGAUCCGCAAAAGAAACUUCUCGACUUGAGGAAAGUAGAGGUACAGGGAAUUUCCGGUGGAGCGGUGAAAUGCGUAGAUAUCGGAAGGAACACCAAUAUGGCGAAGGCACUGUACUGGGCUUUUCCUGACGCUCAGAGACGAAAGCUGAAGGAGUGAUUAGGAUUAGAUACCCUAGUAAUUUCAGCCGUAAACGAUGAAAACUCACUGUCGAGCCAAUAUAUGGAGCGGUGGUCAAGCUAACGCGUGAAGUUUUCCGCCUGGGGGUUACGCUUGCAAAAGUGAAACUCAAAGGAAUUGACGGGGACCCGCACAAGCGGUGGAGUAUGUGGUUUAAUUCGAUGCUACGCGAAAAACCUUACCAGGGUUUGAAAUAAUUUCAAAACUUCU